CCUUUCCCGGCUUUGGACGACAUAUGUCGUCCAGCGGACCGAGAUUUUUCAAAAAUUUGCUGUGCGGGCUGUGUUGGAGCUAUGCACACGCUGUAGGUACCAGCACAUGCGCAUUGAGCUGCUCUUUCACAUGGUAUUUUCAACAUCUUGCUUCGAGGUAUGCUUUGUGCAGUACCGUCGAAAGAAAAGUGACCGUUUGAUGAUGACUUCAAGAUCUUUGUAGUACAACCUCAGUGGGGCUCUAGAGCUGCUAGACAGUGAGAAUAUCGAUGCUUAUGGCCUUGUAGAGUGAGAGGACAGUGACUGGGAUCGUAGCUAGGUAGGAAGCUACCUCAAGCUAAAAAAUAAAGAGCCUGAGGAGCCUGAAGGAGCUGGACCAAGUUUCUGGAUCUGGUGAAGAACGUUUCCCGGGAAAAGGGCGUCUGCUGAUACGACCUCGCAGAGAAGUUUCGGCAGAUCCUGAUCGAACUAUGUCACCGUGAGAACAUUGAGAACACUUACUUAGUGUCUAUAGUCACUUUGUGCCUUCGUAUAAUAUUGUUUGUGUACAUAAUUGUGAAUGUUUGUAAACAAUC